CUUUCCCUUUCUCUCUCUAAAACCCUUGCCCUAAAGGUUUUCUAUGACUUCUCUCUAGAUUCCCAGCUCCUUGAACCAUAGGAAUUCGAUUUUGGUGCUACCCAAGCGUCCGCGGAGUAGAGGGCUUCAUUUCUACCGAACGUCAUCUUCAUUCCGAUCGGGGCAGGUUGAGUUCUUGUGUUGUCAAUGGUACUGUUAUGGCAGUUUCAGUAGUUGUGCUUGGAGAAACCCAGGUUUCAAAGUGACAGUAUGGUUUAUGGACGUAAUUCCAUGAUCCUCAAGGAGAUGAUACAUGGUGGUGCCCUGGUGGUGUGUAAAAUGAUUGCAUUGUAGCUCAGUUUUGGGGGUUUUCCUGAAACUACAAUGAUCAAUCAUUCUCAAGUAGAGAGGAUUGAAUCAUGUGGUGAGUAGUAGCAGGAGGUCCUAGUCUUGGAGGCUUCCAGUAUGCUUCAGGGCGUGGAACAGACUAACCUCGUGAGUAUGGUAGGGUGAAACUCAUUAGCAACGGCUUUGCAAAGCAGUAGAGGCCACCACGAGUGCAUAACCCGCCAUAGCUCGAUGGCGAGGAUGAUACUUUGGAAACAGCUCUUGACGGGGACGGCAGUGCUGCAGCUUAGAUUUGCUAGCUUUUAUUCCAUGAACUCAUAUUAUUUUGAAGAACUUUAGUGCAUUUAAAGUUUUAAAUUUUCUGUAAUUUUUAGGGA
rnacentral:sRNA from 1 species